rnacentral:rRNA from 1 species
CAACCCGGGAUUGCCUUAGUAACGGCGAGUGAAGCGGCAAAAGCUCAAAUUUGAAAUCUGGUACCUUCGGUGCCCGAGUUGUAAUUUGGAGAGGGCAACUUUGGGGCCGUUCCUUGUCUAUGUUCCUUGGAACAGGACGUCAUAGAGGGUGAGAAUCCCGUGUGGCGAGGAGUGCGGUUCUUUGUAAAGUGCCUUCGAAGAGUCGAGUUGUUUGGGAAUGCAGCUCUAAGUGGGUGGUAAAUUCCAUCUAAAGCUAAAUAUUGGCGAGAGACCGAUAGCGAACAAGUACAGUGAUGGAAAGAUGAAAAGAACUUUGAAAAGAGAGUGAAAAAGUACGUGAAAUUGUUGAAAGGGAAGGGCAUUUGAUCAGACAUGGUGUUUUGUGCCCUCUGCUCCUUGUGGGUAGGGGAAUCUCGCAUUUCACUGGGCCAGCAUCAGUUUUGGUGGCAGGAUAAAUCCAUAGGAAUGUAGCUUGCCUCGGUAAGUAUUAUAGCCUGUGGGAAUACUGCCAGCUGGGACUGAGGACUGCGACGUAAGUCAAGGAUGCUGGCAUAAUGGUUAUAUGCCGCCCGUCUUGAACGGACCA